rnacentral:rRNA from 1 species
AGUGAACGCUGGCGGUAGGCCUAACACAUGCAAGUCGAACGGCAGCACAGUAAGAGCUUGCUCUUACGGGUGGCGAGUGGCGGACGGGUGAGGAAUACAUCGGAAUCUACUUUUUCGUGGGGGAUAACGUAGGGAAACUUACGCUAAUACCGCAUACGACCUACGGGUGAAAGCAGGGGAUCUUCGGACCUUGCGCGAUUGAAUGAGCCGAUGUCGGAUUAGCUAGUUGGCGGGGUAAAGGCCCACCAAGGCGACGAUCCGUAGCUGGUCUGAGAGGAUGAUCAGCCACACUGGAACUGAGACACGGUCCAGACUCCUACGGGAGGCAGCAGUGGGGAAUAUUCGACAAUGGGCGCAAGCCUGAUCCAGCCAUACCGCGUGGGUGAAGAAGGCCUUCGGGUUGUAAAGCCCUGUUGUUGGGAAAGAAAAGCAGCAGGUUAAUACCCCGCUGUUCUGACGGUACCCAAAGAAUAAGCACCGGCUAACUUCGUG